ensembl:lncRNA
AUGAGGACAGGCAGAGCAGCUCUCUUCUCACUGGCCAUUUGCCAUGACAUCAGAGUGAACAUUGUGCAACCAGCGACCUACAGCUACAGCAUCCCCACCUUGAGCAGUGGCAAUGGCAGAGCAAAGCUGGGCAAACCAAGAGAAGCAGAGACCAGCUGCAGGGAGAUGCAGCGAGGCAGCAGGACAGUUCACCCACCUGCAGGGGGAAAGAAAUUCUCUUUUUCUUUCUCUGUUUCUCAUGCUGCUUUGACUGUGGUCAUACUGCUUCUUGGCUCAGCCAUUUGCUGGAGAGAAGAGGCCUUACUGCUUCAGAGCUGGCUAUGAAGUGCCACGAUUCCACCUCCCCUUGCUUGAGGCCUCAACUAGCAGCACUGCUUGGCCCUGAGAUACCCCGCAGCAACUGAAGGCUCUGCAAAACCCAGGUCUGUGUACAGAUACUGCAGAGCUCACCUGCGUCAUACUAAUAUCAGGUGCUUGAAAUUUUAUAUUGGAGGCACAGGGCUGUGAGCAGCGAGUCAUUGCAGCAGGUGUGCUAUGCCAACUCCAGCUCUGAGCUGACGAUAAGGGAGAGGGGGGAGGCUCUCCAGAGAGCCCUGGCAGAGACUGAAGUGGGAGAGAAAACUCAGAGUUGCUUAUAAGUCUGCUUAUUGAUCCUUCUCAAUGAAUGCAAAGCCCAGGGCAAGGAUCAACGUGGUCUGCAAUCAAGUGAAUGGUAGAGAAUGAUCAUUUUCUUGUUGAUGUCUUUUGCGUUCCACUGGAUAUGUUUUUUAAGGAUUGUUGUCUGCUUAGUAUAUGGUGUACUCUCUCUUCCUGAUAGUCCUUCAAAACUUGGGCAUGUUUUGUUUUCUCUAUAUGAAAAGGCUCGAGUGGGUCAUCUGUAAGCUUUUUUUCCAAAGGUGUUAGGAUGUCUUAAACCUUCAUUAGAGCCUGCCUUUCCUUUGCUGCCCAUCUUCAGAACACUCCUGCCCAUGUCACAGCAGUUUGUGCUGCAGCAGCUUGUCCUCCCUCCUCUCCUUACACUUUCUUCCAUUGCUUUGUUUGGAAGCUCCUGCUAAGCAUUCCACAGCCGUGACACAUUGGCCCACCAGCAUCUCAUCUCCAGUGAAACCUCCAAAUCUCCCUUCUGAGCCCCCCCAUAAUUUAAUCUCUGAACUUGCUCCUCCCCCUUCUUUUCCUGUCUCUGUUUCUCAGUCCUUCCUCUUUCCUGCUCAUUUUGUCUUGUUCUUGGAUGGUUCAACGCUGCUUUCUUCUUCGUGUUCAUCUGGCACCUGGGUCCAUCUCCUGUCUUCCAUUAGCCAAACAUUUCCUCUCUCAUUCUGACCAAUCUACCCUGAAUCCCCAUCUUCUUCCCUGGCGAAACUAAAUUUUCUCCAGCCGGGUAACAAGGGGAAUCUUUUCUGUGCUGAUGUGAGGGCACACUUUGGCUAGGUAAAGACAUCAAAACACACAUUUUUGAACUUAUACUUAAAGCUAUUCAAGGAAUAUAUGCAAGAUGCAGGCUAUUAGAAUAGGUAUGGGGUCUUGUUUUCUCUACUGCCUUGCACUCUCAUGUCAUCACAUACGUUCAAGUUGCUUUUAGCAUCUUUACAUUCUUGCACAUGACAAACAAUAGGGAACAGCUCCCAUACAGCACAGGAAAUAUAGCAGCAAGUGUCUCACAUCCAUUUUUCAUCUGUCAUCAAAUAGCUUUUAUUCAUGGCAUAGCACAAGUGUCAGCCAACUGGCGAAGACAGCCUGUAUUAAAAAUGCUGGGGAUUAUUCAUGUCAACAGGCACAAGGGAGCUUUUCUUGGUUGGCGGACCUGCAGCAGCAGUGCUAUGAAAAUGCAGCAGGUUCUCCAGUGUAAUCUCAGAUCUGAAUAACUUCAGAAAGAGGCCAACAACUGAUGAUCAUUUCCAAGCACAAUUAAAAAAAAAAAUCUAGCACAAUUAGAUGAGAGCUUGGGUAGAGGUUUAGCUGUGGGUACACAGGAAAGCUUAUAUCAGAAGCACGUUAUGUAGAAGGAGAUAUUUUUAUAACAGUGCUUAGAUUGAAGAUGGUCUGCAGGCUGUGAACUGGUGCUGUCUUCUGGAGUUGGCUUCUGGUUAUGUAAUUAUCAGGUAGACAGGGCCUCGGCCCCUCUGAUUGCAGACCUUGACUGCUUACACAUAUUGGGAAUAUGAUCUUCACUGGCCAAGUGAUUUAUCUUUUAUGGACAAGGUAUAAUUUAGAAAUCGAUAAUUCUUUCUCCUUUUUAAUGACUUUUUUUUUUUUUUAAAGCCCUGUUUCACUGAAAAUAUCUGUUACUAUAUUUGUGAGACUAUUACAAAGGAAAAACAGAAGAUGAGAUGGACACAAACAAUAAAACUGCUUACCUUAACGCA